GUGAACCAGAGAGAGAGAGAAAUUGCGCAAGAUAUCGAGCGGUAUCACAAAGAAGAAGCGGCUGAUAUCGAAAAACCUCCACAGACGCAGAAUAUCACUAAACGCAAAGGCAGACCGAGAAAAACUUCUCCAGCCGUGCCUCCCAGCCCAGCAAAAAUCGCUAAACUCGAUGUUACUGAGCAAAGAAACACCACAGAAAAGACAUCAGUUGGGGAAAAUAUUUCUACAAUCACUACCCGCACAAAAAGAACACCGAGAAAGUUGAUUUCAGAAACAGUUGAAGUGAACCAAAAUACAAUAAUAAGGACAAGGAGGACCACGCCGAAGAAAUCCCUCGAGAAGAUAGCGUAUAGUAAACAGACUAACCCUGAAGAUCCGGAUGCCGAUAUCCGAUACAAAUUCCCCACCCAGCCGCCCACCACCCGCAAAUCAUAUACUAAGUAAAAAAAAACGCAGCGCUAAAAAAUCCAGGACAAAGCAAUACUAAAAGGUAGUGAGUAGAUCUUAUUUUGUAUCAUUAAUUUAUGUUUAAGC